rnacentral:rRNA from 1 species
GACGAACGCUGGCGGCGUGCCUAAUACAUGCAAGUCGAGCGAUGAUUAAAGAUAGCUUGCUAUUUUUAUGAAGAGCGGCGAACGGGUGAGUAACGCGUGGGAAAUCUGCCGAGUAGCGGGGGACAACGUUUGGAAACGAACGCUAAUACCGCAUAACAAUGAGAAUCGCAUGAUUCUUAUUUGAAAGAAGCAAUUGCUUCACUACUUGAUGAUCCCGCGUUGUAUUAGCUAGUUGGUAGUGUAAAGGACUACCAAGGCGAUGAUACAUAGCCGACCUGAGAGGGUGAUCGGCCACACUGGGACUGAGACACGGCCCAGACUCCUACGGGAGGCAGCAGUAGGGAAUCUUCGGCAAUGGGGGCAACCCUGACCGAGCAACGCCGCGUGAGUGAAGAAGGUUUUCGGAUCGUAAAACUCUGUUGUUAGAGAAGAACGUUAAGUAGAGUGGAAAAUUACUUAAGUGACGGUAUCUAACCAGAAAGGAACGGCUAACUACGUGCCAGCCGCCGCGGUAA